GGUGGCCCAGUGGAAGAGCACUUGCCUUGCAUGCAUGAGGCCCUGGGUUCGAUUCCUCAGCACCA
rnacentral:tRNA from 1 species